rnacentral:lncRNA from 1 species
CGAGGUGAGUUCGGGAAACUUCCAACCACCCGAGGUGCGUCCAAUCCCGGACUCACCGAACCUGCAAGUAUGUUCGGUUUUUAUCACAUGCCAUUUCGGUAAAAUACUAAAAAGUACUGAAGAAUUUUAUACGCAUUUAAUUUAUAGUAUAUAAUUUCGUGUUUGGAUAACGAACAUUUUAGCCGCCAACAUAGUACGCAAACAAACAAACUUAGGCUUAAAUUAAAGCUAAAAAAAUUCUCUACAAUAUUCCCUUAUUCUUGAAAAGAGAAAAUGAACACAUUCUGCGAAAACACUGCCAAGAUUUAUAUAAACUUGCCCGUGCCGAACAAAUUUCGGCGGCCAUCUUUCUUCUCUUCCACUUUGAAUACAGAAUAUUCCAUUUUUAUCAAACAAAAUAAAAAAAUAAUAAUUAUAAAACAAUUAAAAACAGUUAAUUUACUUUUUUAUUUAAAUCUUCGUAUGAAAUUUGUUCAAAUCGCUUCAUAAUGACCGCCGCUGAAACAUCGAUCUCGAACCCACCCCCUAAACAUACGUCAGCAUGUGGGUUCGAGAUUGAACGCACCUCCUCGUAGCCAAUAGGAAAGCCGCUAAUACGCUAGGUAUGAGAUAAAUAUUGUAAUACACCACCAUGCAAUACAUUGUAAUGGUACAGAAUUUACAAUUUCAGAUUCUAUCGUCAUGAUUCGUACACAAUAGUCAAUAGAGUUGGGGAUCGGGGUCAAGAUCAAAGAGAAAUUUAGGCUACGUUUAUAUUGUACCAGAUUUCCGUAGCGACGUGAAAAAACACCUAUCCGUACAUUUUCGGGACGCUAUUUUCAGAGAAAUUAUUGCAACGGAGAGAUGUUAUUUCACCCAACUUCUGAAAGUUGUACAUUUCGUAUCGGACACAGGAGCUUUUUCGCGCCGCUGCGGAAAGCUAUCCGGUACUAAUGCGUAGCAUUAUUCGUGCUCGAAACAUGACGAUAUAUGGCCCAGUUGCGAGAAAAGCAUGCCAGAUUAACAAUAGUUUAUUCGAUUGAAAUCGCUUUCCCAUCCUACAGCUGUUCCUCGUUAUUCUAAAUUUCCUUUUUCAAUAUUCUUUAAGUGCGUAAAAACAAGGGAAAUCUGACCGUACAUUACGAAGUCGUCUUCAAUAUUAUGAAAAUUGAACAACACUUCACAAUCAAAUAUGGCAGAUUAGCAUGUAUGUUUCCGUAUGCGGGGAAAAUUGAAAAUUUUCCUCAUAGUCCUGGUUCAUCAAGAUCCCACUUUUUCACAGAUUUGCAUAUGCGGAUAGUGAAUUUCAGGAAUUGAACGUGCUUGCAACUCGAGGUGCUGUGGUCGUUAUUAGAUCAAUGUCUUUCGAACGCGAAUUCCUUGCCCACUCGGGAUUUUGUUCUUAGGUUCGCAUUUUAUAUAUUCAUCAAUCCAUAACACUGAUGAUUACACGAAGAAUCAUGCCUAGGGUCUUGUAAGAGUUCUGUCAACGCCAUGAUAUAAUGCUGUGCCAAACGUAGUGUCUCAAUUUGUGUUAGUUUUCUUUCUGGCCCUUUACCUGUCAAAUAGUCAGGAAUAACACCACGAAGUACAUCAAAUGCAUUAUUAAGACGUGAUUGUCUCUCUCGUUCUCUCGCAUUUCGUCGAAGUUGACGAUUCCUUUUCACAGUGGCUGGAAUAACCCUUCUUUCACGCUUGCGUUCUUUAGACACAUUCUUGGUGGCAUUUGUAUUCUUCACGGAACAUUGAUUCUCAGAUAGGUCUUGUGCAGGCAGGCUUGACGAGAUAUACGGUAUAUUAUCAAAGUCUAUCCUGCCAGGAAAAUUAGCGUAGAAAGGGAUUUGAAAUCCGUCUUGGUUUUGCGCGCAUGUCGAAGAAAUAUUGGUGA